UAACAAAGCAUUAAAUUACUUAUAAAAAGAUGUAAAAAAUGGUUUAUUACAUGCGAAGGAGGAAAAACAUGGCUCAAAUUCUCAUGUUUUUUUAUUCUUUGAUCAUCUUUUUUUUUCUGUUUCUAGUUGAAACAAAGAGAACUAACAUUCCCUGCUUUUCCGAUGAUGAUUGUCCAAAGACGUCCCCUCCUCUAGUUUUGAAGUGCGAUGAUUAUUUUUGUCGGUACUUUAGGGAGAAAAAUUUAAUUUAAAAAUAAGUAUGCUUCCUCAAAGCGUAUAAUAAUGUUAGUAACAAAAAAAAAGCGUAUAAUAAUGUUUAUACUUUUAUAAUUUACUUUAGAAUUUAAUUUAUGUCUCUUAUGCCUUUGAAUUUUAUGACAAGCUCAAAAGUAUAUUAUUAUAAAUGCAAGUAUUAUUAUCUUCGUUUGUUCA